rnacentral:rRNA from 1 species
GCACCACAAGAGCGUGGAGUAUGUGGCUUAAUUUGACUCAACGCGGAAAAGCUUAUCUGGUCCGGACACAGUGAGGAUUGACAGACAGUUAGACAGAAGUGAGGUUUUGGUAACAAUUGAGAGAGUUGAAGUUCUUUCAUGAUCUUGUGAGAGGUGGUGCAUGGCCGUUCUUAGUUCGUGUAGUGAUAUGUCUGCCUAAUCGCGUCACGAUAACCUAUUGGUCGACAACCCAAUUAUCACAACUGCAGCAUAACUCCCCUUGGGUGGGCGAGGCUCUGUGUAGGAUAGACCUCUGAACAGUACGCAACGAACGCGAUCGUAAUCCCUUGUUGAGUGGCCAUCCUGUAAGCUGCUGGAUUAGGAACCCAGUGGUAUUAUCUCAGCCACAGAUUUUCUGGUUGUAGUGGGCCAGUUUUGAAACUCGGGGAACAUCUGUGACUUUCUU